rnacentral:ncRNA from 1 species
UUGGUGUAUUUAUACAUAACAAGGAAUUAGGUAAAAGCCUAAGCUAACCCAGUAGCCGUGAUGCUGAUGAAAGUUCAUUAAGUCACUGAGAAAUCGGGAAGACGAAUUAGUAAAGUGAAGCAGAGCCGGAAGACUUACCAAGUAAAGAA